AGUGAACGCUGGCGGUAGGCCUAACACAUGCAAGUCGAACGGCAGCACAGUAAGAGCUUGCUCUUACGGGUGGCGGGUGGCGGACGGGUGAGGAAUACAUCGGAAUCUACUUUUUCGUGGGGGAUAACGUAGGGAAACUUACGCUAAUACCGCAUACGACCUACGGGUGAAAGCAGGGGAUCUUCGGACCUUGCGCGAUUGAAUGAGCCGAUGUCGGAUUAGCUAGUUGGCGGGGUAAAGGCCCACCAAGGCGACGAUCCGUAGCUGGUCUGAGAGGAUGAUCAGCCACUGGAACUGAGACACGGUCCAGACUCCUACGGGAGGCAGCAGUGGGGAAUAUUGGACAAUGGGCGCAAGCCUGAUCCAGCCAUACCGCGUGGGUGAAGAAGGCCUUCGGGUUGUAAAGCCCUUUUGUUGGGAAAGAAAAGCAGCAGGUUAAUACCCCGCUGUUCUGACGGUACCCAAAGAAUAAGCACCGGCUAACUUCGUG
rnacentral:rRNA from 1 species